rnacentral:rRNA from 1 species
CUUGUAGGCGGUCCGUUAAGUCUGGUGUGAAAUCCUCCCGGCUCAACUGGGAGGGGUCAUCGGAUACUGGCGGACUUGAGGUAGGUAGAGGAAAGCAGAAUUCCUGGUGUAGCGGUGAAAUGCGUAGAUAUCAGGAGGAAUACCAGUGGCGAAGGCGGCUUUCUGGGCCUAUCCUGACGCUGAGGAGCGAAAGCGUGGGGAGCAAACCGGAUUAGAUACCCGGGUAGUCCACGCCCUAAACGGUGGAUGCUAGGUGUGGGAGGUGUCGACCCCCCCCGUGCCGCAGCUAACGCUUUAAGCAUCCCGCCUGGGGAUACGGCCGCAAGGCUAAA